UCCGAGUUGACCCCGGCAGUCUCCCAUGAGUCCCCGGCAUAACCCGCUGGCAACAUGGAACGAGGGUUGCGCUCGUUGCGGGACUUAACCCAACAUCUCACGACACGAGCUGACGACAGCCAUGCACCACCUGCACACCAGCCACAAGGGAACCGACAUCUCUGCCGGCGUCUAGUGCAUGUCAAACCCAGGUAAGGUGGGGAUGACGUUAGCCUAUCGAGA
rnacentral:misc_RNA from 1 species